rnacentral:antisense_RNA from 1 species
UACUGCGCUCCUCUAAGCCAGUUACCUCGGUUCAAAGAGCGCCAACUCCUCGAACCUUCGAAAAAACCGCCCGCCAAGGCGGUUUUUUCGU